rnacentral:rRNA from 1 species
GUGGGGAAUAUUGGACAAUGGGCGAAAGCCUGAUCCAGCAAUGCCGCGUGCAGGAAGAAGGCCUUCGGGUUGUAAACUGCUUUUGUACGGAACGAAACGGUCCGGGUUAAUACCCUGGGCUAAUGACGGUACCGUAAGAAUAAGCACCGGCUAACUACGUGCCAGCAGCCGCGGUAAUACGUAGGGUGCAAGCGUUAAUCGGAAUUACUGGGCGUAAAGCGUGCGCAGGCGGUUUUGUAAGACAGGCGUGAAAUCCCCGGGCUCAACCUGGGAAUUGCGAUUGUGACUGCAAGGCUGGAGUGCGGCAGAGGGGGAUGGAAUUCCGCGUGUAGCAGUGAAAUGCGUAGAUAUGCGGAGGAACACCGAUGGCGAAGGCAAUCCCCUGGGCCUGCACUGACGCUCAUGCACGAAAGCGUGGGGAGCAAACAGGAUUAGAAACCCGUGUAGUCC